GACGAACGCUGGCGGCGUGCUUAACACAUGCAAGUCGAACGGAAAGGCCCUGCUUUUGUGGGGUGCUCGAGUGGCGAACGGGUGAGUAACACGUGAGUAACCUGCCCUUGACUUUGGGAUAACUUCAGGAAACUGGGGCUAAUACCGGAUAGGAGCUCCUGCUGCAUGGUGGGGGUUGGAAAGUUUCGGCGGUUGGGGAUGGACUCGCGGCUUAUCAGCUUGUUGGUGGGGUAGUGGCUUACCAAGGCUUUGACGGGUAGCCGGCCUGAGAGGAUGACCGGCCACAUUGGGACUGAGAUACGGCCCAGACUCCUACGGGAGGCAGCAGUGGGGAAUAUUGCACAAUGGGCGGAAGCCUGAUGCAGCAACGCCGCGUGCGGGAUGACGGCCUUCGGGUUGUAAACCGAUUUCGCCUGUGACGAAGCGUGAGUGACGGUAAUGGGUAAAGAAGCACCGGCUAACUACGUG
rnacentral:rRNA from 1 species